UUUUAUAGGGUUAUUUAUUUUUAAGUUAAAAAUUUUAUUAAAAAAAAUAAUUUUAUAUUUUAGUAUUAUUAAAGAAAAAAUUUAUUUAAUUAUAGUUAAUAAGUAUUGUGAAAGAAAAUUUUGUAAAAUAAAACAGAAAAAUUUGUUGUUUGUACCUUGUGUAUCAGGGUUUAUAAAUUAAAAUUUAAUAAAAUUAAAUUUCUCGAAUUUAAAAGAGUUAUAUAAAUAUAUAUUUUUAUUGUAAAAUAAAUAUUUUUAAUAUUUAUAUUGAAGUGAAAUGCUAUUCGAUUUUAAAUAUAUCUAGUUUUUCAAGAAAAAAAUUGAAUUUUAUAUUUAUGUAUAAAUAAAAUUGAUUUUUUAGUUUUAUGGUUGUAAAUAUAAAUAUUUUUAGGGAUGAGCUUAAAAAUAUAAGUAUAAAAUUUCUAUAUUUGUUAAAAUAAAUAGAAUUUAAAGUGUUUAUUUUUAAAAAUGUAUUAUUAUAAGUUUUAUGUGGAAUUAAAUUUAUAUAUUAAUUUAUAUAUUAUAUUGAAAUAUGGGUUUUAAUUAUAAAAAUUGAGUAAUAAUGAUAAAAUUAGUAUUGUUUAUAAUAAAAAGUAGAUAAAGUUUUAAGGUAAAAUAAAGGAAUUCGGCAAAUAUAUUUUUCACCUGUUUAUUAAAAACAUGGCUUUUUGAUUAUAAUUUAAGGUCAGGCCUGCCCAAUGAGUAUUUUAAUGGCCGCAGUAAUUUGACUGUGCGAAGGUAGCAUAAUAAUUAGUUUCUUAAAUGGGAGCUUGUAUGAAAGGUUAAAUGAAAAAGUUACUGUCUCUAUUUUAAUUGAUAAGAAUUUUAUUUUUAAGUAAAAAAGCUUAAAUGUGUAUUAAAGACGAGAAGACCCUAUAGAGUUUUAUAUUUUAUUUGUAUAAGAAAUUUUAGUAUUUAAUUUUUUUAUUUGGAAUUUUAUUUAAUUGGGGUGAUUAAAAAAUUUAAUAAACUUUUUUUUUUAUUAAUUCAUAAAUAAAUGUAAAUUUGAUCCUUUAUGAGAUUAAAAGAUUAAAUUACCUUAGGGAUAACAGCGUAAUUUUUUUUAAGAGUUCGUAUUUAAAAAAAAGGUUGCGACCUCGAUGUUGGAUUAAAAUUAAAUUUUGGUGAAGAAGCUGAAUAUUUUAGGUCUGUUCGACCUUUAAAAUUUUACAUGAUCUGAGUUUAAACCGGUGUAAGCC
rnacentral:rRNA from 1 species